ACGGAGGGUGCAAGCGUUAUCCGGAAUCACUGGGUUUAAAGGGUGCGUAGGCGGCGUUAUAAGUCAGAUGUGAAAGCCCACCGCUUAACGGUGGAACUGCAUUUGAUACUGUAGUGCUUGAAUCAGGCUGAGGUCAGCGGAAUGUGUCAUGUAGCGGUGAAAUGCAUAGAUAUGACAUAGAACACCAAUUGCGAAGGCAGCUGACUAGACCUGUAUUGACGCUGAGGCACGAAAGCGUGGGGAGCGAACAGG
rnacentral:rRNA from 1 species